rnacentral:rRNA from 1 species
GCUCAAAUUUGAAAUCUGGCCCCAGGCCCGAGUUGUAAUUUGCAGAGGAUGCUUCGGGCGCGGUGCCUUCCAAGUCCCCUGGAACGGGGCGCCAUGGAGGGUGAGAGCCCCGUAUGGUCGGACACCAAGCCUAUGUGAAGCUCCUUCGACGAGUCGAGUAGUUUGGGAAUGCUGCUCUAAAUGGGAGGUAGACCCCUUCUAAAGCUAAAUACCGGCUAGAGACCGAUAGCGCACAAGUAGAGUGAUCGAAAGAUGAAAAGAACUUUGAAAAGAGGGUUAAACAGCACGUGAAAUUGUUAAAAGGGAAGCGCUUGUGACCAGACUUGUGCCGGGGCGAUCAUCUGGCGUUCUCGCCGGUGCACUCGCCCCGGCCCAGGCCAGCGUCGGUUCGGGAGGGGGGACAAGGACGUUGGGGACGUGGCUCCUCCGGGAGUGUUACAGCCCAGCGUGUCAUGCCCCCGCCCGGACCGAGGUUCGCGCUCUGCAAGGACGCUGGCGUAAUGGUCAUCAGCGGCCCGUCUUGAAACACGGACCAAGGAGUCGAGGUUCUGCGCGAGUGUUUGGGUGCCAAACCCGCACGCGUAAUGAAAGUGAACGUAGGUGGGAGCCUCGGCGCACCACCGACCGAUCCUGAUGUUUUCGGAUGGAUUUGAGUACGAGCGUUGGGCCUCGGACCCGAAAGAUGGUGAACUAUGCUUGGAUAGGGUGAAGCCAGAGGAAACUCUGGUGGAGGCUCGCAGCGGUUCUGACGUGCAAAUCGAUCGUCAAAUCUGAGCAUGGGGGCGAAAGACUAAUCGAACCAUCUAGUAGCUGGUUACCGCCGAAGUUCCCUCAGGAUAGCAGUGUUGUUUUCAGUUUUAUGAGG